UCCUAAAACUUACUCUGUAGACCUCAGACUGAGAGAUCUGCCUGUCUCUGCCUCCUGAGUGCUGGGAUUUAAAGGUGUGAGCCACCACCACCUGGCUAUUUUGUUGAUUUUUAUAAUGUUUGCUGUUUUCCUCAUAUUUGCUUGCUUUCUGCUUCAGUAUAGUUCCUUGUUCCCUGUGUCUCAUGAAUGUUAUUUUUUCUUCUUCUUCUUUGAUGUGUAGCAUUCCUUCCAGUAGCUUCUGUACUGCUGGAUUAGUGGUAAUACAUUCCUUUAGCUUGUGUUUAUCAUGGAAACUUUUUCCCCCUCUCCAAUUGUGAAGAAUAGUUCUGCUGGACAUAGUAAUUUCGGUUGGCCAUUGGUUUUCAGCAAUUGAAAUGGACCACUCCUUUCUCCUGGCCUUUAGAUUUUUUAGUGAGGAAAUCUGCUGUUAUUCUGAUGGAUUUGCCUUUCUAUGUGAUUUGAUAUUUUCCCUUAUGAUUCUCAAUACUUUUUUUCAUAAAUAUGAUACUGAACUGUAGCACACAUGGUAUUUUCUGUUUGGCUUGGUUUCUGAAUACUUCCUGUGUCUGGGUAGCCAUCUCUUCCCCAUAUUUGGGAAAUGUCUCCUGUAAUUUUAUCAAAUAUAUUUUCUGUACCUCUAAGUUAAAUAACUUCUCCCUCUCUUCUGUCUUUGUCAUUUCUGCUUCUGUGAUGUCAGGAACUGAACCCAGGACAUACACACUGGGAAAGCUCUCAGCCACUCAGCCAUGCACUGGCCUUCCCUUCUUUUGUCCUUUGUGUUUUUGAGAUAGAAUUUCAGAAAGCUACCUAGGCUUGCUUUAACCUUCUGUAAGCUCAGAUAGGCCUUGAACUGAUGGUCCCCUCCCUCUGCUUCCCAAGCAGCUGGUGUUAUAGGCUAAUUCGAUAUGCCAAUAUGAUGUACAGUAUAAGCCAAUUAAAAACAGUCACCUCUUCAGUUAGAAUAACUUUUGAAGGAGCAAAAUGUAGUAUGGUGUGUACAUGUAGUUUCUUUUUUGGGAACAGGUGUGAGACCUGUCUCUGUGCAGUCCUCAGGCCCAAUGAUACUCCCUGUGAAUUUCCAGAGUGACCUGAAAAUAUAUUUGAUAAAAUUACAGAAGAGAGGGAUGCUUGCCUCUGGUUUCACUGCUGCUGACUUAGCAGGGAUCUUUUAGGUCUCUUAGGCUUCUUAGGGCUGGAGAGAAAGAUCAGUGGUUAAGGGCACUGCCUGCUCUUCCAGAGGACCCAGGUUUGAUUUCCAGUCCCUAGAUGGUGGCUCACAACUGUUGGUAACUCCAGUUCUAGGUGAUUCAAUACCCUCUUCUUGCCUUGGAGAGCACCAGGCACACGUGGUACACAGAUGUAUAUGAAGGCAGAAUACCCAUACACAUAAAAUACAAAUGAAAAAUAGUGGCAUUUCAGCUGUACAUGCCUAUAAUUCCAUCCUCGGAGAGGCAGAGCCUCAGUUCUCCUGUAUUCUCCCACUGGCUUCCUUUCCUGGAGAGUGAGCUUCAUCGGAGUGGUUUGCUUUAUGCUGUGGGCAGACCAGGCUUCAAGAGUAGGAGCUGACUAGACGUUUGCAUCGGAUUUUUUUUUUUUUUCUGAUAACUUCUGCUUUCUGAUCCAGAGCACACACUUACAAAAUGGAGUCAGUACAGACAGAAUCAGUUCUUGGAGCAUUUACCACGCUCAUCACUUUGGGUGGUGACUUAGGAAAGGUUCCUGCAGUCGCUGGUUCUUUUUCAUCACAUCGUACAUGUUCUUUCUCCCUUUUCCCACCCUCAGGCAGGUAGGUGGGCAGGAGAGCCAACACAAGCAGAACUGGGGUGCUAGAAUCCUCGGUGCCUUUGCAUAUCAGGCUUUCCCGAGGGGCCCUGAGGCUCACAGCUGCUGGACUCUGCCUCAGACUCUGCUCAAGGCUGCUCUGAGUCUUGAGUAGCAGGAAGGCACCAACCUCAGGAAGGUCUUGGGGACAAAACUUAGAGAUUGAGGUACAGCCUUGUGUCACAGUGUGCAUGUAGAGAUCAGAGGACACAUUUCUGAAGUCAGUUCUCUUUUUCUACCACGUGGGUCCUGGGAAUCAAACUCAGAUCAUCAGACUUGGCAGCAAACCCCGCUUACAGGUCUGGGAUGAAGUAUUUGAACUUAAAUCUGUUAGAGGCACUACUUUACUUUUCUUGUAUUCUGCUGAAAGUGAAGCUAGACAUAAGACCUUUUUCAAUUAAACAGAAUGCCUACAAGAUUGGUAGUGUUAUGACUAUCCCAAUGAAUUUUAUAACAUUAUGAUUAUAACCUACAGUUAAAUAUACUAUACAGUGCACUUUGUUGUGCUUUUGUUGUGUUUCAUUUGCAGUACUGGAGUUAAGUCCCAAAUCUCCCAAAUGCUAGGCAAGUUCACAACUAGUGAUUGACAGCCAUGGUCCCUGUAUUCACAGUUGUGUCCCAUGGAAACAGAUAUUUUGCAUUGGUUCAAUCAAGAAGAACUUCUGGGGUGCUGGAGAGAUGGCUCUGCAGUUAAGAGCACUGACUGCUCUUCCAGAGGUCGAGUUCAGUUCCCAGCAAACACAUGAUGGCUCACAACCAUCUGUAAUGGAGUAAGAUGCCCUCUUCUGGUGUGUCUGAAGACAGCGACAGUGUACUCAUAUGCAUAAAAUAAGUAAAUCUUAAAAAAAAAA
rnacentral:lncRNA from 1 species